rnacentral:tRNA from 1 species
AAAAAAUUAGUUAAAAUACCAUAACAUAAGCUUGUCAGGCUUAAAUUAUCUUAGAUAUUUUUUG